rnacentral:rRNA from 1 species
UACAGAGACUGCAAGCGUUAUUCGGAUUCACUGGGCGUAAAGGGUGCGCAGGCGGCCGAGUGUGUGAGGCGUGAAAGCCCGGGGCUUAACCCCGGAAUUGCACCUCAAACUACACGGCUAGAGCAUUGGAGAGGGUAGCAGAAUUCAUGGUGUAGCAGUGAAAUGCGUAGAUAUCAUGAGGAAUACCAGAGGCGAAGGCGGCUACCUGGACAAUUACUGACGCUCAGGCACGAAAGCGUGGGGAGCAAAAGGG